CACCGCCCGUCACGCCAUGGGAGUGGGUUGUACCAGAAGUCAGUAGGCUAACCGCAAGGAGGCCGCUGACCACGGUAUGAUUCAUGACUGGGGUG
rnacentral:rRNA from 1 species